rnacentral:rRNA from 1 species
GACGAACGCUGGCGGCGUGCUUAACACAUGCAAGUCGAACGGAAAGGCCCUGCUUUUGUGGGGUGCUCGAGUGGCGAACGGGUGAGUAACACGUGAGUAACCUGCCCUUGACUUUGGGAUAACUUCAGGAAGCUGGGGCUAAUACCGGAUAGGAGCUCCUGCUGCAUGGUGGGGGUUGGAAAGUUUCGGCGGUUGGGGAUGGACUCGCGGCUUAUCAGCUUGUUGGUGGGGUAGUGGCUUACCAAGGCUUUGACGGGUAGCCGGCCUGAGAGGGUGACCGGCCACAUUGGGACUGAGAUACGGCCCAGACUCCUACGGGAGGCAGCAGUGGGGAAUAUUGCACAAUGGGCGGAAGCCUGAUGCAGCAACGCCGCGUGCGGGAUGACGGCCUUCGGGUUGUAAACCGCUUUCGCCUGUGACGAAGCGUGAGUGACGGUAAUGGGUAAAGAAGCACCGGCUAACUA